CAUAGAAAUAUUACAUUAAAUAUCUAUUGUAAUUUUACCAUUUGAUAUAAAAGCAAGAAAAUUAGAAUAAAUAAAUAUACAAUAUAGAUAAAUUCUUUAAGAUGGUCAGUUUAACUUUUUGUCACAAAAUAGCCUUAAUGAGAAAAAUGACCAAAAGAAGUUUUAUUAAAGAGUAAAAAUACAUUUAUACCGUCGUAGGGUUAACUAAUCUUGAUCUAGGGUUUAGAGUUAAGGGUGGAGUUUUGAGGAUAGGAUUUCAAAUAAAAAAAAUUAAAAUUAAAAUUUUAAAAAUAAAAAGUGGCUAUUUUGGUCAUUUUACUUAUUCAAAGUUAUUUUUAUGACAACAACUUAAAAAAAUAUAUUAGAGAGAGUUGCCCUACAAUAUAAGAAAAACUAAAUAAUAAGUAAAUAUAAAAUAUAAGAAAUGAAAAACAAUAUUAAACAUCUAUUUGAAAAAUGUAUAGUUUUAUGUUUUUUCCAAAGAAAUAUAUAUUCACACAAACAUAUAAUUCAAAAUUUUGUUGUUGUUUAGAAUACAAUGUAAAAAAAAAAAUAUAUAGUUAACAUUUGAAAAUCAAAAUAGCUCCGGGCGUAGUGCGGUUUUACUCCUAGUCUUUAUAUUCAAAGAAGCGUUCUUUCUUUCCUGGUGAGGACACGUCGUCGUCCACGUCAGAAAGUCGUCGUCCAUGUCAGAAAGUCGGCUUCUGUCGAAGCCACACGUGUCCCACCCCAACACCCAGCACUUAGAUUGGACAGUUUAUCUGGCCCGUAAUCCUUUAUGUGUAGACCUAAUCUAUUUUCGCGAUGUUGUGUGUGUUCUUCUUCUUCCUUGUUCGACGGCUACGGUGACUCUUGCCCUUCCUCACGAAUCUGAAACUGAGAGCGUUAUGGUUUUUACGUGUUUAUCCCAUUAAUUCAGACGCCCACUACGAGUUCUUCAAUGUGUCUUUUAGAUCUGAAAGGCGGUUUGAUUCGGUAUAAAUAGAUGUGAGUAUUCUCCCCGGUGGAUUUGACAUAUGGUAGAUGUGCUCAGAACUCCAAGCUUUCCGACUCCUCUUUACUGAUUAGGUUCAAUGAUUCAACCGAUUUUGACGAGUUAACCGAACCGGUCUCUCCGUUACACAGCUUCCAGAUAUUUUAGGAAAGAUGGGCACAACUGGAGGAAGAAGAAAGAUGGUGAAACAGUGAAAGAGGCGCACGAAAAGCUCAAGGUUGGAAGCAUUGAUGUGUUACAUUGUUACUAUGCACAUGAGGAAGACAAUGAGAAUUUCCAGAGGCGUUGCUACUGGAUGCUUGAACAGGAACUGAUGCAUGUUGUUUUUGUUCAAUACUUGGAGGUUAAGGUAUAGCUUUUCUCUCGGUACUGUACUAAUAUAUUCUUUAGAAUAUAAACACCCAUUCACUCAACAUUAUAUUGUUCCUUUUUAAAGUGGGUUCUCUUUUUUUUAAUGGUGGUUUUGAUAAGUUCAUGCUAUUUAUACAUGGUAAUAGGAUAAGCUCCAUUGGAAUAAAAGAAAACAAUUCAAAUUCUCUGAGUGGCUCCACUUCUGUGAAAAUUGAUUCAACGCAAACACAUCCAGCACAUUGUCACCACUAUGUGAAGAUGCUGAUUCUGGUAUAUAUAGUUAUCUUUAGCUUUAUGUAUGUUUAGGGACAUAGUUCUAUUUACAGGCUACCUUGCUUUACUAAAAGAAGGUUUCCUUCCUUCCUCUUCCGCCACAUCGGAUUCCACGUAGAUAAGUUGAAUUCUGUGAGCGCGACACAUGUCCAGCUAAUUAAACUCACCGUUUCAUUUAAUUUUGUGUGCAAUUAGUACAGACAGGCUUUGCUAUGUGCGUUCUGUUUAAACUUAACAUUUAUUGGGCUAUUUGUUUAAUUCAAGAUUUCGUUAGCCCGUUACCGAUAGUCUCUUUCCACUUCAUCUAAUACACGCCAAAUUAGGGUUCAUCAUCCAUCGAUCUCCGACACUUAAAAUUUUUCUUCAGCAUUCUCUAACACCAUCAAUGGCGUCUUCACUUGCAUCGUUAUGCCUUCUCUUCUAAACAACCGAAAUGGUCAGAGUUAAAGAUUCAUCGCUUUUAAUUCCAUAGACCGACGUGAAUACGAUCUGACAUUGAUUGUGAGUUAUCCUAUGCAAGGCGGUCUAUUAUACACCUAUAAAAAAGAUUAGCUUUCUUCACUUGAGUAUCAUCCUCUCAAUCCGUGAAAAUACCAAAUUUAAUAAAUUCUCUUUGUGGCCGCUGCUCCUUUGCUCAGGUUCUGGGAACCCAAGAAUGGCGAACGUGGUGGGGAACUCAUGUCUCUUGAUAUGCUCUUACUGGAUUCAAAGUAUUUUCUCAGAGAAGUUUCCUUCUUCUCCGGGCCUGCACUUUUGGGUGCGUAUCCUAGAUUUUGGUUCCUAAGGGAACUGGUAUUGCAUGACAAACACUCAAGUUAUGAUCCAUCAACCACUUGGUACUGCCGGAGCCAAAGCAACCAAAAUGAAUAUUGGCAUAAGAGAAUGAUGUCCCACAAAAUUUAACUAAACAAAACCUUCUCUAAAAUCACCGGAAAC